CUCAGCCUUUCCAGUCUAACGGUUCUGCCUGCUUACAGUCUUGCCACUCACCUCAACACGCCACCUUGCCCUUUCUCUUGAUCCAACACUGUGUCUGUUCACAGCCCUCUCUCCCUCCCUUCCUUCCCCAACCUCUAUCUCUCAUCUCUUUUUUUCCUGAGGAUCCCAUAUUUAUUUAUACUCCAUCCUAUAAAUUUCUUUACCACAGAAGGGAGAGACACAAGACGAGAAGGCAUCCAGGACUGGGGAGAGCCUGGUAACAGGACUUGGACUCAAGUUUGAAUCCUCUGCACUCAGAGAUCUGCCUGUUGCUGCCUCCUGAGUGCUGGGAUUAAGGGGGUGUGCUACUAUGCCUGCCAGCCAGUUCUCACACUUCAUAUACUACAAAACUACCAGAAGAGAGAUAGAGAGAGAAGGCAGCGUGCCGUGACUUCCAGAUGGAAAGGCCAGUCCUAGAACUGUAAGCUAUUGUUAAGCCUUCCCUUUUGUUCUCGAUACAGUAGCAGGGUAACAAUCUACUUCUAGGAAAAGGUAUUCCCUUCAUAUCUCUAAAAAAGAAUCUCUGCAACAGUUGCAUGUGAUGGUCAGUUUUAAUUGCCACCUUGAUACAACCUAGAAUUACCUGGGAAGGGAGGGGUCUCAAUGAGCAAUUGUCUAAUGGACUCUGGGCAUGUCUGAGGGGACUGUCUUGAUUGCCUUAAUUGAUGUGGGAAGAUCUAGCCUAAAAGUGGGCAGCACCAUUUCCUGGGUUUGGACCUGGGAAGAAUGGAAAAAGCACGAGAAGUGUGUGCAUUUAUUUUGCCUCUGCUCUUUGGUGGUGUAUUCCUUACUUUUCUGUUGCUGUGACAAAAUAGUCUUGAGAAAAAGCAAGUUAGAGCAAGAAAGGCUUAUUUGGCUUAUAGUUCCAGAAAAGGAUACAGUCUAUCAUGACAGGGAAAACAUGUUGGCAGGAGUGUGAGGAUGGCCCGGCAUACAAAAGACAGACACACAGAAAGAUGUACAUACAGACACAGACAGACAUACAGACAGACAUACAGACAGACACACAGAAAGAUGUACAUACAGACACAGACAGACAGACAUACAUACAGACACACAGAAAGAUGUACAUACAGACACAGACAGACAGACAGACAGACAUACAUACAGACAGACACACAGAAAGAUGUGCAUACACAGACAGACAGACAGACAUACAGACACACACACACACACACACACACACGCACACACGCGCACACACACACACACACACACACACACACACACACACACCAGCAAGUGGGGCCAGUGAUAUACUUCCUUCAGUGAGGCUCCUUUUAAAGGAGGUUCCAUCAUCUUCCUAAACAUCACCAAGUACUAAACACAGAAGCUCUGGGGAUAGUUUGCAUUUAAAGCCCAACAGAUACAAUGUGACCAGCCGCCUUGACUUCUCUGCAGUGAUCGACUGUAGCCUGAAACUGUAAGCCAGAGAGGCCCUUAUCCCCCUAAGCUCUCCCAGGUAGCCUUCUGUAAGGGUGUUUUAUUACAGAAGUGGAAGGAAACAAGAACAUCUGGAAGUGAAGGAAGCAAUUUCUUUAUCCUGAAAGAUGACACUUUUCAUUUAGCUUGAAGGGUCCCUCUUCUCAUGCACCUGAUACUGAAGGAAGUAAACAGUGGCUGAGUUCCUCAUCCUCUUGGCUCUGUACUCAACCUACAAAGCCUCUAUUUGAAACUGUUUUGGGCUGUCCAGGAAGAAGCUACAAUGGCCAAGUGACAACAGGACUUACAGCAGCACCUGGUUCAGCAUUAGCAACCGGCCAAACUGGCCACUAACCAGCACUUCCUAGAGACUGGGUUCCUGGGGCGGAUGCCUGAUUUUUUCCAGCAACCUUAGUGUCUGAUCAGAGAUGAAACGAACCAGACCACAAACACCGGCAUCAAAUUCAAAAGCUACACAUUUUUGCCAUUUGAAAGCCCUAAUACUAAAUCAAAUAAAUGCAUUACACUCUGUAUGUCAAUUGGUCUAGAGAUGGGAAGCAACCAGUUUUUACAACAUCCCUGCUAACUGACCUAUGCUGUAGCUCAGGAAUAAUCUGGAUUUCUGAUUUUUCAGAUUUGGUAUGAUCAUCUUGUAUGCAAAAGCCAGGCAUGGAAAAGGACACCUGUGAGAACCUGAAAGUUCCUCUGAGCCCUCAAGAGUUCCUUGGCACCUGGUUCUAGAGCUGAUGAACCUUAUCCCUUUGUGAAGGUUAGCUUUAUCACAACCUAGAAUCACCUGGGAAGAAAGUCUCACUGAGGGAUUGUGUAGAUCAGGUAGGCCUGAGGGGAUUAUAUUCGUCAUGUUAACUCAUGUGAAAGACCCAUCCACCAUGGGUGGCAUCAUUCCCUGGGCAGGGCAUGGAGAACUGUGUAAAUGUGAGGAAAGACGACUGAAUACAAGCAAGCAUUUACUACUUGUUGUUCUCUGUUAACUAUGGAUGUAGCUGCUGCCUUGACUUCCUCACAGUGUGGACCAUAACCUAAUACUGCGAUCCAAAUAAACAUUCUUCUCCCUUAAA